rnacentral:rRNA from 1 species
UGGGGAAUUUUGGACAAUGGGCGAAAGCCUGAUCCAGCAAUGCCGCGUGUGUGAAGAAGGCCUUCGGGUUGUAAAGCACUUUUGUCCGGAAAGAAAUCCUUGGCUCUAAUACAGUCGGGGGAUGACGGUACCGGAAGAAUAAGCACCGGCUAACUACGUGCCAGCAGCCGCGGUAAUACGUAGGGUGCAAGCGUUAAUCGGAAUUACUGGGCGUAAAGCGUGCGCAGGCGGUUUGCUAAGACCGAUGUGAAAUCCCCGGGCUCAACCUGGGAACUGCAUUGGUGACUGGCAGGCUAGAGUAUGGCAGAGGGGGGUAGAAUUCCACGUGUAGCAGUGAAAUGCGUAGAGAUGUGGAGGAAUACCGAUGGCGAAGGCAGCCCCCUGGGCCAAUACUGGCGCUCAUGCACGAAAGCGUGGGGAGCAAAACAGGAUUAGAUACCCUGGUAGUCCACGCCCUAAAACGAUGUCAACUAGUUGUUGGGGAUUCAUUUCCUUAGUAACGUAGCUAACGCGUGAAGUUGACCGCCUGGGGAGUACGGUCGCAAGAUUAAAACUUAAAUGAAUUGACGGGGUCAUAGCUG